rnacentral:rRNA from 1 species
UACAGAGGUGGCAAGCGUUGUUCGGAAUUACUGGGCGUAAAGGGCGCGUAGGCGGCCUUCUAAGUCAGACGUGAAAUCCCCAGGCUUAACUUGGGAACUGCGUCUGAUACUGGGAGGCUUGAGUGCGGGAGAGGGAUGUGGAAUUCCUAGUGUAGAGGUGAAAUUCGUAGAUAUUAGGAAGAACACCGGUGGCGAAGGCGGCCCACUGGCUCGAUACUGACGCUGAGGUGCGAAAGCGUGGGGAGCAAACAGG